rnacentral:rRNA from 1 species
AAAAUUAAAAGGACGCGGUAACCUUGACCGUGAUAAUGUAGCAUAAUCAUUCGCCAUUUAAUUGAUGGAUAGUAUGAAUGGUUAAACGAAUAUUUCACUGUCUUAAAAAGAAAUACCUAAAAAUUGGAAUAAUAGUAAAGAUACUAUUUAAGAUUGUAAGACGAAAAGACCCUAUAGAGCUUAACUAUAAUCUAUUUUUAAACAAAAGAAAAAUUUUCAAAAAAAAGAUAGACUGGUAGUUUAGUUGGGGCGACUGUCUUUUAAAAAUAACAAAGACAAGCAAAGUAAUAAAAAAAACUUAUUGUAUAAUCAAUAAAUUUAACAAUUAUAAAAAUAGGCUAUAAUGACCCGUUAUAAUUUAAUAAAAGAAAUAACGAUCAAUAAAUAAAAGCUACCUUAGGGAUAACAGGAUAAUUUUAUUUUAGAGAUCUUAUCGAAAAUAAAGUUUGUCACCUCUAUGUUGAAUUAAGA